AUUGAACGCUGGCGGCAUGCUUUACACAUGCAAGUCGAACGGCAGCGCGGGCUUCGGCCUGGCGGCGAGUGGCGAACGGGUGAGUAAUAUAUCGGAACGUACCCAAGAGUGGGGAUAACGUAGCGAAAGUUACGCUAAUACCGCAUACGAUCUAAGGAUGAAAGCAGGGGAUCGCAAGACCUUGUGCUCCUGGAGCGGCCGAUAUCUGAUUAGCUAGUUGGUGAGGUAAAGGCUCACCAAGGCAACGAUCAGUAGCUGGUCUGAGAGGACGACCAGCCACACUGGAACUGAGACACGGUCCAGACUCCUACGGGAGGCAGCAGUGGGGAAUUUUGGACAAUGGGGGGCAACCCUGAUCCAGCAAUGCCGCGUGAGUGAAGAAGGCCCUAGGGUUGUAAAGCACUUUCAGUGGGGAGAAGGGUUGAUUGGUUAAGAGCUGAUUAAUUGGACGUUACCCACAGAAGAAGCACCGGCUAACUCCGUGCCAGCAGCCGCGGUAA
rnacentral:rRNA from 1 species